CCAACAUGACAGCUCUCUGCCAGUUACUGAUAGCAAUCCUCACCAUAGCCAAAGUUAGCGGGCAAGAUGUUAUAACCCAAUAUCCUCGCGAGAAAACAGAAAUUGAAGGGCAAGACGUGGCACUAAACUGCAAUAUUUCAAGAUUGGAUACUGUCUUCUGGUACAGGCAAAACCCCGGCGGAGCUCUUCAAUACGCGCUCAGGAUAUUUACCUCUGGAACGGUAAACAAAUCUCCUGAUCUACCUGAACGUUUCACUGCUGAGCUGAUCAAGAAGAAUAAAGUAAUUAAGCUGCAGAUACUCGGGGCUGUUGUGGGUGACAGCGCUGUGUAUUACUGUGCCCUGGACCCCACACUGUUACAGGAAGGCACAUACCCCCUCUCCUCACGGUAUCUUACAGCCUCCCAGCCAACUUUCUCCAACUACACCAUCAACGCUCUCACAACGUCCCGUGACAUUAAUACAUAUGACAAUGACAUUGUGGAGGAGACGCUGUAA